UUUCCGUAGGUGAACCUGCGGAAGGAUCAUUCAUAAUAAGUGUUUUAUGGCACUUUUUUAAAUCCAUAUCCACCUUGUGUGCAAUGUCAGGGUUGAUUUUUCUCUCGAGAGGAUCAGCCCCAAACAUCAACUAUAUCUCAACUCUUUGACUGAAAAAAUAUUAUGAAUAAAACAAUUCAAAAUACAACUUUCAACAACGGAUCUCUUGGCUCUC
rnacentral:misc_RNA from 1 species